AGAUAUUUUUAAUCAUAGUAUAAUGACGAUAGAAAUUUAAUCAAGCACAAAUAACGCAGGCGACAGGACCAAUUAAUUUUUAUUUAUCAAAAUGAAAUAUUUAAAGAGACAAAUUUCUUCGUCUUUAUUACUGUGAAAGUGUACCAUUUGAAAUGACGACCCAACUACUUGUAAAAUGUGUUUUGGUAUUAGUUCUUAUAAAUUCUUUGCAAGACGCUGGAUACUUAAAUCAACUAACAGUAGCUUCGGAUGGAGAUAACUGUGAUACUGCCAGUUCCUUGCAUUCAGCUCCGUGGUUUACCAUGCUGUUAGCAGCUUCUUCGCUGUAUCUUAUAAUGUGGACUCUAAGAUGAAACAAUGGUUGAAGAAAUAGGUUUACCAAAAAAUCUAAUGAUGGCACACAUAUUGCCUUUUGGGGGUUUUGUUAAGUUUUCGCAUAUAUAAAAUAUAUCAUUGUAUUCUUGUUUUAUAUUUUGUCUCUUCGCG